rnacentral:ncRNA from 2 species
GCGCCCGUACGCAACUGGCGAUAGGCAACGGUCAAGCGCAGACCGCAUGCUGACGUGGAACCGCCGGACUUUCAUUAGCUCCUCGACAACCACUGGGAAGCGUACCGCAGGAUCCUCGUGAUCCCUCGCGUUCCGCCGUUCGCCUGGGCAGCCCUU